rnacentral:rRNA from 1 species
UACGGAGGGGGCUAGCGUUGUUCGGAAUUACUGGGCGUAAAGCGCACGUAGGCGGCUUUCUAAGUCAGGGGUGAAAUCCUGGAGCUCAACUCCAGAACUGCCUUUGAUACUGGAAAGCUUGAGUUCGGGAGAGGUGAGUGGAACUGCGAGUGUAGAGGUGAAAUUCGUAGAUAUUCGCAAGAACACCAGUGGCGAAGGCGGCUCACUGGCCCGAUACUGACGCUGAGGUGCGAAAGCGUGGGGAGCAAACAGG